UCCCUGAAGGACUAGUGGUUAGGCCUCGAUACUCUCACCACGGGGCCCGGGUUCAAUUCCCAGCCAGGCAA